rnacentral:lncRNA from 1 species
CUCUGGAAGUUUUGCACGUCGCUGUGAAAAUCUUUGUCGUUACCCUUUGAAAGGUGGGCGUUGGGAAGUAGGUUUUAAAUCUAGCUUCAGAUGACAUGCAGAAAAGUCUGAAAUAGCAGCAAUCUUUCUGAUUUAGUAGAGUGUUGGAAUCCUUUAGUUGUGAAAUGAGAUGAAAAUUCUAUUCCCCAGAAUUUGUUUGAAGUAGUGUUUGGUAGGAAUAUUUUGUUAUGCUACCUGGGGUGGGGACGGUAUCUCAAAAACACAGGCUGGUUGCACGUGGUCACUAGGCUAUCUUCUCGGGAGUGUAAGUGCAAUCAGCUAGAGCCCUCUGAGUUUCACUGAGAAUUUUGAUGGGUUUACAUCUGUGAACUUGAAGGUAGAAGCCAAGAAGAGGUAAAUGCUUAGUAUAAAUAGAGAAGAAAUAUAUUAGAAGUGAGAGAGAAAGAGAAAUCUUGUGGCACACUCCAGAGCCAUCAAAGGGGAAGCAGUAUUAGAGGAGGAGUAUUCAAGAGAGAUCUCUGGUACUGGCGAGCCAAGGGUGGAAGUCAAAGAACAGAUAUGUUAAGGGGGAUUCCCACAAAUGUUUAUUUUGAAAAAUACCAAAACUUCAGAAAAGUUAUAAGAAUCGUACAUUAAACACUGGUGUAUCCCUUAUGUGUACAUAUAAAUGUAUACAGAGGGACAGAGAGUGCACUUUUAUUAACAUGUGUAUUGACAUUUUGUAUAUAGAUAGGCAGAUAAGAAAGUUGAUACAGAGAGAAAUGUGUGUGUAUAUAUAUAUAUAUUUUUUUUUUUCUUUUUCUGAACCAUAUGAAGGUUGUUGGUAGACAUCAUGCAGCUUCACCACUAAGUGCUUCAGUAUGUGUUUCCUGAGAACAAGGCCAUUGCUCCUAUAUAACCAGGAUGCAAUUGUCCCACUCAGGAACUUAAGCUUGCUAAAAUACAAUAUCUAACAUUUAGUGCAUAUUCAAAUUUCCCCAUUGUCCCAAAAAUAUCCUUAUAAAUCUCCAAUUUAAAGGGGAUUUUAAAAUUGUUUGCUGUGUUCAACAUAAAUGCCUUUUCCAUUUUCCCCACAAAGUCAUCAAAAGCAACCACAUUUCUCAUCAACGUUUUUUGCCAAUGAAUUCUGUGGGGGAAAUUAUAGAUGUCCCAUGUCCAGAUUGGCAGGGAGUGAAAAUAGAAAUAAUAGCAGCUGCCAGAAGAGAGAUUGGUUGACGCGGAUUCCAUUUGCGUCAACGAUUUGGAGGAGAGGAGCUUUGUAGAGGCAGUAAGUAGCAGAGACAGAUUGAAAACCACCUAGUCUGUUCCUAGGGUGUUGCCCCUUUUCUUACCACUCAUGUUUUAAAUCUGUCCUCUCUUAGUUGUUAGUAGUUUUCCCAGAUCCUACCAUGUACAUUCAGCUUGCUCUCAUAGGUCUCUUUUUAAAAAAUAGAUCUAUUUUGAGAGCAGUUUUAUAUUUACAGAAAAAUUGAGAAAAUAGUACAGAGUUCCUAUAUAUCCUCUUUACCUCUGCACACAAUUUCCACUAUCAACAUCUUACAUUAGUAGAGAAUAUUAGUUACAACUGAUGCACCAGUAUUCACAAAUUAUGAUUAAUGGAAUCCAUACUUAAUUCAGAUUUCCAUAGUUUUUAACCUAGAGUCCUUUCUGUUCCAAGAUCCCGUCCAGGAAUCAAAAUUUCAUUUAGUUGUUAUUUCUCCUUAGGCUCCUUAGACUGUAACAGUUUCUCAGACUUUUCUUGUUUUUGAUGUCCUCAAUGGUUUCGAACUCAUAGGUUUUUCGAUAAUUUAAUCUCCCUACGUUGCCCGGCAAAGCACCACAAAAAGUAUUGUUUCCAAUUAAAUAAAAUGUCAGACAAUUGGUGGAAAUCAAAUCCUGUUUGAAGUAGCUGCAUGAUAAGGAUGAUAAAGUUAUUUUAGCAGUUGUGUUUGGUUUUGGUCAUUUUAUAACUACUCAUUGAUUAAAUAUGGGCUAUCGAGUUCACAGGAUUCAUUGACUGGCAUAGUCUUCUUUGGGUGGAUUGAGUCAAUGAAGCUCCAGGCAUAAAGAUCAACUGAGAGAGAACCAUACAGAAGGUGCCUUUUCCUCUGGAAACUUGUGUUGUAACAGAUGAUACAUGACAGAUGUUUUAUGCUUUUCUCAUCAUCUUUGCAAGAAUCUCGGGGUAAUUUUGCUUGAGACAUAUGCUGCUAUCCUUUGCCAAGGAAGUAUUUCUCUUGUCUUUUAAAUUUUUUUAAAUCAAAAUAUAAUUUACAUGUAGUGAUAAGCACAGAUCUUAUGUGCAUAGUUAGGUGUUUUGACAAAUGUUUUGACAGAUGUAAGCCACAUCUCAUCGGACAGAGAACAUGUUCAUCACUAUAGAAAAUGAUCUCAUGCCUUUUCCAAAUAAGUGCCUGCCCUUAAUUCCCAGAGGCAACCAAUGGUUCAAUUUCUUUACCAUAGAUUAAGUUGGCUUGUCCUAGGACUUCAUCAAAUGGGAUCAUGCAGUUUGUACUCUUUUGUGUCUGGGCAUCUUUAGUUUAACAUAAUGUUUUUGAGAUUUGUUCAUGUUUUGUGUCUAUCAAAAGUUUAUUCUAUUUUAUUGCUGAGUAGUAUUCAUUGUAUUGUAUUAAUAUACCACAACUUCUUUUUUUUUUAUACCACAACUUCUUUAUCUACUUUUAUAUUGAUAAAAAUUUGCUUUUUUUCCCGAUUUUUGGGGGCUAUUUUGAAUGAAGUUGUUGUGAAUAUUCUUGUUUAUGUCCUUUUUGUGGACUUCUGUUUCUCUUGAGGGUGGAGUUUCUGGAGCGUGUUUAAUGUCAUAAGAAAACGUCAAACCAUUUCCCAGAGAGGUUGUAACAUUUUAUACUCUGUGUUAGUUAUCUACCGCUGCAUGACAAUAUUACCACAAAUUUAACAGCAAAAAGCAAUAUACUUUUUUUUUCUCCCAGUUUGGAUCAGGAGGCUGGGCAUAGCUUAGAUAAUCCUUUGCAAGGCUGUGAUUGAGUGCUGACCCAAACUGGGUUCUCCUGCUUUAACUGGGGAAGGACAUGAUUCCAGACUCAUGUGGUUUUUGGCAGAAUUCACUUCCUUGUGUUGUGUGAUCGAGAACUUCAAUUUCUUGCUGGCUGCGAGCUGGUGGCCGCCCUCAGCUGCUAGAGAGGCUGCCAACAGUUCCCUACCAUGUGGGGUUCUUUAACAUGGGCAGUUGCUUCCUCAAAGCCAGUGAAGGAGCAAGAGGUUCCAUCCAGCAAGGUGAAUGCAGCAAUCUCAUAAAAUGUAAUCAUGUAAUCAAAUAUAUUUAAUCAUAUACAUCCCAUUACCUUUGCCGUAUUUUAAUGUAAGUCCCACUCACACUCAAGGGGAGGGAUCACACAGGGAAUGAAUACCAGAAGGUGGGGAUUAAAGGGGCCAGUGUAAGAGUAUGUACACCACACACUCCUACCGUAAAUGAAUGGUUGCUUCACAUCUUUGCCAACAUUCGGUGUUGCCAUUUAUUUAAUUUUAGCCAUUCCAGUUGUUGUAGAAUAUGCCACUGUGAUUUAUUGUUAUUUUAUUUUGUGAGUAUAGUUGGCACGCAAUGUUCAGUUAGUUUAAGGCAUACAACAUAUGAUUUGACAAGUUUGUGCGUUACACCAUGCUCACUACAAAAGUAACUACCAUCUGUCACCUACAACCCUAUUACAAUAUCAUUGGCUACUUCCCUAUGCUGUACCUUUUACUCCCAUUGUGGUUUUAAUUUGUACCUCUAAUGUCUAACGAUGCUAAGUAUUUCUCUAUGAGCUUAUUGGCCAAUCAUAUAUCUUCUUUCAGGGGAUGCCUUUUCCUUGUAUUUUGCCCAUUUAAAAGGUUGUGUUGUUUGUCUUUUUACUAUUGAGUUGAAGGAGUUCCUUAUGUAUUUUGGAUAAAGAUCUUUCGAUAGAUAUAUGCAUUACAAAUAUUUUCUCUCUGUCUACGUAUUGCCUAGGUUUUUUCUUAGCAGUGUCCUUUGAUGAGCAGAUAAUUUUAACUUAGAUGAAGUCUGAUUCACCGAUUUUUCUGUGAUGUUUAGUGCUGUUCUGGUAAGAAUAUUCCUCUAUUAGUAAUUGGUAAAACGAGUAAAUAGUACAUUUAAAAAUAAACCAUGACCCAAAGGAGAAAGAACAAGGGAAAUAAAAUAUUUUGAACUGAAUGUUAAUAAAAAUACAUAUUAAACCAUCCCAUAUUUGUGAGAUACAGAGCUGAAUCAGUGCCUAGAAUGGAAUUUGUAGUCUAACAUGCUUACAGCUUAAAAUAAAUUAUUUAGGGUGCCCUAAGUGGCUUAGUUGGUUAAGCAUUUGCCUUCAGCUCAGGUCAUGAUCCCAGGAUCCUGGGGUAGAGCCCCACAUCAGGCUCUCUGCUCGGCAGGGAGCCUGCUUCUCCUGCUCCCUCUGCCUGCCCCUCCUCAUUUGUGCUCUCUCUUUCUGUGUGUCGAAUAAAUAAAUAAAUAAAUAAAAUCUUUAAAAAAAUAACUUACUGAAGCUUCCACCUUACAAAGCAAAAGGAAAUAAAUAAGAGUAAAUUAAUCCAAGGAAGUUUUUAAAAGGAAACAAUAAAUUUAGGGAAAAUCAAUAAAAUAGAAAAUGAAUCAACCAAUUAAUUCAGGAAAAAUCAGCGUGACCAAAAUUUUGUUCUUAUAAAAGAACAAUUGAGGCAAUAAAGCUCUUCUUGGACUGAUCAAGAAAAAAAAAUCAAUGAAAAAAAUUAGUAAGAUAGAACUUUAAAUCAGUUAAAAAUUCAUUGAUAUAAUAUACUGUGUCACACUAGCAUAGAGGACAACGACCACACUGUUAUCACACUGUUAUCUCAAAAGAUACAGAAAAAGCAUUUGACUAAAAUCUAUUACCCUUUCAUGACAAAAGUGCUCAACAAAUUAGGAAUAGAAGGAAAAUUCCUCAACCUGAUAAAUACUUCUAUGAAAGUCCCCCCAGAGAACAUGAUACAUAUCGGUAAAACACUGAAUGUGUUCUGCUAAGGAACAGAAACAAGACAAUGGUGUUUGUUCUCAUCACUUCACCACUUCUUUUUUUUUUUCUUUUUUUUAAGAUUUUAUUUAUUUAUUAAUAAGAGACACAGAGACAGGCAAAGACACAGGCAGAGGGAGAAGCAGGCUCCAUGCAGGGAGCCCGACGUGGGACUCAAUCCCGGGUCUCCAGGACCACACUCUGGGCAGAAGCUGGCGCUAAACCACUGAGCCACCCUGGCUGCCCUGUUCUCACCACUUCUAUUCAACAUUGUAUGGAAGGCUCUAACCUGGGAAGUUAGGCAAGAAAAUAAAAUAAAAGGCAUUCAGAUUGGAAAGGAAGAAGUAAAAUGAUAUGAUCUUGUAUAUUAAAAAAAAAAAGUUCUAGGAAAUUCAUUAAAAACAAUGAACGAUCUAAAAAUAAAAUAAGGAAAACAAGUCCAUUUGCAAUAGUACCAAAAAA